GAUAUCACAUUGAAACACCAGUUCCUGUAUGAUCACCAGUUAAGCAAUCUUGAGCCUGGUCAGUACCUGGACAGGUGACUGCUUGAGAAUACCAGAUGCUGUAAG